GUUCUCGUAGCUCAGCUGGAUAGAGCGUCCGCCUCCUAAGCGGAAGGUCGCGCGUUCAAGUCGCGCCGGGAACGCCA
rnacentral:tRNA from 1 species